UUACUUAAUAAGCAAAUUCAAAUAGGAACGGGAAAACAAUAUAAUUAUAUAUUUCAAAGGGCUUUGCCCAUUCCCUGUAAGUGCACCCCUUUUAGCAAAAGCAACAACAGUUGCGUUUAUAGCAUCAAAAAAUGAAAAAAAAAUAAAAAUUAGCUUGUUUAAUUGAAGAAGAUUAAAUCAGGGAAGAAGAGAAAAAAGUAAGAUUGUUUGGAGAUAUCUAUCGGGUUUAAGGUUUGAUCCAAGAAAGCGAUACGAAUCAUUCGAGGUGACAAAUUGAUAUUUCGACAAGAGUACUAGAACGCAGGUGACGAUGAGGAUCGUGUUGGCUUGAGGAUCCGAGUAGCAUAUUCUUGGUGAGCCCCGCAAUUAUUCGCGUGGGCUAUAGUUUAUUUAUUCGACAUGUUUCUUUUUUGUGAACACUCUUAGUUUGCUCCAUAGUUGUGUCUUUAGAGCUUGAGUAUUCUUUCAUUAUUUUGAAUUUGUGGAGUAUUUGACUUCCUCUUAUUUUUGGAGAUUGAUUUCGUAUUGUUAGUUGGUGGUAUUGGUGAAUUGUUGAU